GAUGAACGCUGGCGGCGUGCCUAAUACAUGCAAGUCGAGCGAACAGACGAGGAGCUUGCUCCUCUGACGUUAGCGGCGGACGGGUGAGUAACACGUGGAUAACCUACCUAUAAGACUGGGAUAACUUCGGGAAACCGGAGCUAAUACCGGAUAAUAUAUUGAACCGCAUGGUUCAAUAGUGAAAGACGGUUUUGCUGUAACUUAUAGAUGGAUCCGCGCCGCAUUAGCUAGUUGGUAAGGUAACGGCUUACCAAGGCGACGAACCGUAGCCGACCUGAGAGGGUGAUCGGCCACACUGGAACUGAGACACGGUCCAGACUCCUACGGGAGGCAGCAGUAGGGAAUCUUCCGCAAUGGGCGAAAGCCUGACGGAGCAACGCCGCGUGAGUGAUGAAGGUCUUCGGAUCGUAAAACUCUGUUAUUAGGGAAGAACAAAUGUGUAAGUAACUAUGCACGUCUUGACGGUACCUAAUCAGAAAGCCACGGCUAACUACGUG
rnacentral:rRNA from 1 species